rnacentral:rRNA from 1 species
UCUGAGAGUUUGAUCCUGGCUCAGAUUGAACGCUGGCGGCAUGCCUUACACAUGCAAGUCGAGCGGCAGCGCGGACUUCGGUCUGGCGGCGAGUGGCGAACGGGUGAGUAAUACAUCGGAACGUACCCUGUUGUGGGGGAUAACUAGUCGAAAGAUUAGCUAAUACCGCAUACGACCUGAGGGUGAAAGCGGGGGACCGAAAGGCCUCGCGCAGCAGGAGCGGCCGAUGUCUGAUUAGCUAGUUGGUGGGGUAAAGGCCCACCAAGGCGACGAUCAGUAGCUGGUCUGAGAGGACGAUCAGCCACACUGGGACUGAGACACGGCCCAGACUCCUACGGGAGGCAGCAGUGGGGAAUUUUGGACAAUGGGGGCAACCCUGAUCCAGCAAUGCCGCGUGUGUGAAGAAGGCCUUCGGGUUGUAAAGCACUUUUGUCCGGAAAGAAAUUGCUCUGGCUAAUACCUGGGGUAGACGACGGUACCGGAAGAAUAAGCACCGGCUAACUACGUGCCAGCAGCCGCGGUAAUACGUAGGGUGCGAGCGUUAAUCGGAAUUACUGGGCGUAAAGCGUGCGCAGGCGGUUUUGUAAGACAGGCGUGAAAUCCCCGGGCUCAACCUGGGAAUUGCGCUUGUGACUGCAAGGCUAGAGUGCGUCAGAGGGGGUAGAAUUCCACGUGUAGCAGUGAAAUGCGUAGAGAUGUGGAGGAAUACCGAUGGCGAAGGCAGCCCCCUGGGACGUGACUGACG